rnacentral:rRNA from 1 species
UACAGAGGUCUCAAGCGUUGUUCGGAUUCAUUGGGCGUAAAGGGUGCGUAGGCGGCGCGGUAAGUCGGGUGUGAAAUCUCGGAGCUUAACUCCGAAACUGCAUUCGAUACUGCCGUGCUUGAGGACUGGAGAGGAGACUGGAAUUUACGGUGUAGCGGUGAAAUGCGUAGAUAUCAGGAGGAACACCGAUGGCGAAGGCAGUGUUCUGGGCCAGUACUGACGCUGAGGAGCGAAAGCGUGGGGAGCAAACAGG